CAGUAUAGGACACUCUCAGUUUUAGAACAUGGACAUUAUCAAACAUGGACGCCUCAGCUUUUUAAUAUCACUGCUCUACAUACAAGGUCUAAUUGAUGGGAGUGAUGUCACCCAGACUCCGGAAAGACUGUGGAAAAACCAGACCGACAGUGCAACAAUAAGCUGCAGACACACCAAGGGUGGCAGCUACUUCCAGAUGUACUGGUACAGACAGCGGCCGGGAGAAACAAUGAAACUAGUAGUGUUCACUAUUCCAGACAAGAAACCUGACUUUGAACCAGGCUUUAAUGAUCAGAAAUAUUCAGCCACCAAGCCUGAUGCUGAGAGUGGGACAUUCACAGUGAAGAAUCUGGAGCCAGAAGAUAAAGGCUUGUAUUUCUGUGCUGUGCCUCUAACACCAACAGUGUCUUCCAAACGCCUCCUUUCAUCAUUAAGAGAAGUGGUGAAUCGGUUGCCAGUGAGAUCAAGUGUUCACACAGCAUAACAAAUUAUGAUAAAAUUCUCUGGUACAAACAGGAUGAACAGAAAGCUCUAAAGCUCCUGGGAUAUCUGAACGUGAUCCACCCAUAC